UAGCGUGAGAAUCAUAGAGCGUACUUUUACUUUGCUCAGGAUUAAGAUUGAGUUAAAACGAGACAGAUUUAUGCCAUGGAUAUAACG